rnacentral:rRNA from 1 species
UACGCAGGGUGCAAGCGUUACUCGGAAUUACUGGGCGUAAAGCGUGCGUAGGUGGUUCGUUAAGUCUGAUGUGAAAGCCCUGGGCUCAACCUGGGAAUGGCAUUGGAAACUGGCGACCUAGAGUGCGGUAGAGGGUAGUGGAAUUCCCGGUGUAGCAGUGAAAUGCGUAGAGAUCGGGAGGAACAUCUGUGGCGAAGGCGACUGCCUGGACCAGCACUGACACUGAGGCACGAAAGCGUGGGGAGCAAACAGG